rnacentral:rRNA from 1 species
UACGAAGGGGGCUAGCGUUGCUCGGAAUCACUGGGCGUAAAGGGCGCGUAGGCGGCCUGCUAAGUCGGACGUGAAAUCCCCAGGCUCAACCUGGGAACUGCGUCUGAUACUGGAUGGCUUGAAUUCGGGAGAGGGAUGCAGAAUUCCAGGUGUAGCGGUGAAAUGCGUAGAUAUCUGGAGGAACACCGGUGGCGAAGGCGGCAUCCUGGACCGGUAUUGACACUGAGGCGCGAAAGCCAGGGGAGCAAACGGG